UAGCAUAUGUGGCUGUCCAGCUGUUUUGACUCUACAGUUGUUAAAAAUGCUUUGAAAAAAACUAUGUCUAUCUUAUCUGCGGACCUGAAUUUUUUUUCUUUCGUUUUAACCUUCAAGCCUGCAGUGGAGGCUCGGUUGGGUUGGUCUUGGUGCAGCUUUCCUCGAAGAACACCCCCAGGAUCUCUCAUUGCCAUUGUACUAAAGAUUUCCUUCUGUCUGACUGAUACUGGGAUCCUUGUACCAACACACUUCCAUCGUCUUUUUCACUGUGGUUUGAGAAGUCUUGUGCCGAUUCCUGUUGCGUCCGGCAUUUCUUCCCUGGUCUCCUUUCAAACACCGAGUCUGUGACCUUGAGCAGCCCAGCAUAUGAGCAGGCUAUGAUCCCGAGGUCGCACUGGUGGUGAAGGGGAAGGAGUCAUCUUCUCAUGAUGGAUGGAGUGCUCCAUCUCCCCAUGUGAAGACACUGUGCAGGACCCUGGACACAAUCUCAAGAUAAAGCAGGAGAGCCGUCGGUGAAGAGGUUUCAAAAACCUUCAGAGGCCGCGGGCGUGCCGUUGUUUUCCACCCCACUUCUUUGAAUUUUCUGAAAAUCGUUGAUCCUCACUAACUUCAUGUAAACCUUUUUCUUUUAAGAAAUCCAAUUUAAUUGGGAGCACGUGGGUGGGUGAAGUGGCUGCCUUCGGCUUAGGCCAUGAUCUCAGAGUCCUGGGAUCGAGCCCUGCAUCGGGCUCCCUGCUCCC